AGCGAACGCUGGCGGCAGGCUUAACACAUGCAAGUCGAACGGGCGUAGCAAUACGUCAGUGGCAGACGGGUGAGUAACGCGUGGGAACGUACCUUUUGGUUCGGAACAACCCAGGGAAACUUGGGCUAAUACCGGAUAGGGCCCUUACGGGGAAAGAUUUAUCGCCGAAAGAUCGGCCCGCGUCUGAUUAGCUAGUUGGUGAGGUAACGGCUCACCAAGGCGACGAUCAGUAGCUGGUCUGAGAGGAUGAUCAGCCACAUUGGGACUGAGACACGGCCCAAACUCCUACGGGAGGCAGCAGUGGGGAAUAUUGGACAAUGGGCGCAAGCCUGAUCCAGCCAUGCCGCGUGAGUGAUGAAGGCCCUAGGGUUGUAAAGCUCUUUUGUGCGGGAAGAUAAUGACGGUACCGC
rnacentral:rRNA from 1 species